GUAGUGGCAAGCGUUGUCCGGAAUUAUUGGGCGUAAAGCGCGCGCAGGUGGUCUUUAAGUCUGAUGUGAAAGCCCCCGGGCUCAACCGGGGAGGGUCAUUGGAAACUGGGGAACUUGAGUGCAGGAGAGGAAAGUGGAAUUCCACGUGUAGCGGUGAAAUGCGUAGAUAUGUGGAGGAACACCAGUGGCGAAGGCGACUUUCUGGCCUGUAACUGACACUGAGGCGCGAAAGCGUGGGGAGCAAACAGGAUUAGAUACCCUGGUAGUCCACGCCGUAAACGAUGAGUGCUAAGUGUUGGGGGGUUUCCGCCCCUCAGUGCUGCAGCUAACGCAUUAAGCACUCCGCCUGGGGAGUACGGUCGCAAAGACUG
rnacentral:rRNA from 1 species